GAUGAACGCUGGCGGCGUGCUUAACACAUGCAAGUCGAACGGAAAGGCCCAAGCUUGCUUGGGGACUCGAGUGGCGAACGGGUGAGUAACACGUGGGUGAUCUGCCCUGCACUUCGGGAUAAGCCUGGGAAACUGGGUCUAAUACCGGAUAGGACCACAUUUUGGAGGGGGGGGGGGAAAGUUUGUCGGUGUGGGAUGAGCUCGCGGCCUAUCAGCUUGUUGGUGGGGUAAUGGCCUACCAAGGCGUCGACGGGUAGCCGGCCUGCGAGGGUGUACGGCCACAUUGGGACUGAUAUACGGCCCAGACUCCUACGGGAGGCAGCAGUGGUGAAUAUUGCACAAUGAUCGCAAGCCUGCUGCAGCGACGCCGCGUGGGGGAUGACGGCCUUCGGCUUGUAAACUCCUUUCGCUACGGACGAAGCGCAAGUGACGGUACCUGGAGAAGAAGCACCGGCUAACUACGUG
rnacentral:rRNA from 1 species